ACGUGCCAGCAGCCGCGGUAAUACGUAUGUCACAAGCGUUAUCCGGAUUUAUUGGGCGUAAAGCGCGUCUAGGUGGUUAUGUAAGUCUGAUGUGAAAAUGCAGGGCUCAACUCUGUAUUGCGUUGGAAACUGCAUGACUAGAGUACUGGAGAGGUAAGCGGAACUACAAGUGUAGAGGUGAAAUUCGUAGAUAUUUGUAGGAAUGCCGAUGGGGAAGCCAGCUUACUGGACAGAUACUGACGCUAAAGCGCGAAAGCGUGGGUAGCAAACAGGAUUAGAUACCCUGGUAGUCCACGCCGUAA
rnacentral:rRNA from 1 species